AUGCUCCAGCAGCACAUAUACUAAAAUUGUAAUGAUACAGAGAAGAUUAGCACAGUCCCUGCACAAGGAUGACAUGCAAAUUUGUGAAGCCUUUCAAAUUUUU
rnacentral:snRNA from 1 species